UCGGGAAUUUUGGGCAAUGGGCGAAAGCCUGACCCAGCAACGCCGCGUGAGGGAUGAAGUAUUUCGGUAUGUAAACCUCGAAAGAAUGGGAAGAAUAAAUGACGGUACCAUUUAUAAGCUCCGGCUAACUACGUGCCAGCGGCCGCGGUAAUACGUAGGGAGCAAGCGUUGUUCGGAUUUACUGGGCGUAAAGGGCGCGUAGGCGGCGCGGUAAGGCCCUUGUGAAAUCUCUGAGCUUAACUCAGAACGGCCAAGUGAUACUGCUGUGCUAGAGUGCGGAAGAGGCAACCGGAAUUCUUGGUGUAGCGGUGAAAUGGGUAGAUAUCAAGAGGAACACCUGAGGCGAAGGCGGGUUGCUGAGCCGACACUGACGCUGAUGCGCGAAAGCCAG
rnacentral:rRNA from 1 species